AGUGAGUGUGGGUUUGGCGGGGUUCCGGGGUCCCGACGGCGACCUCGGCAACUCCUCACUCACCGU
rnacentral:pre_miRNA from 1 species